CUGACUCAGCACCUGGACAGUUCAUUUCGGUGGAUUCUGAAUGAUAAGGCUUUACAACGCAGGCAGAGGCUUUUUGUAAUUGGCUAGGUGAAUAACAUGAGAAGCCACAUGCUGGUUAGAGCAAAAAACGGACACUUUGAGAGUAGGAUUAGUUUUUCUGGCUAAAGACUGCAGGUGUUUGUCUGUUCCUGACUGGGGAGAACCAUGAAGACAUCCAUUCCAGCUUCACUCAUCUUGUGGCUACAGCUGAACUGGAUGAGCCGAGGAGAGAACGUGGAGCAGCAGCCUUCUACUCUGAGUGUCCAGGAAGGAGGCAAAUCUGUCAUCAACUGUAUUUAUUCAGAUAGUGCCUCAGCCUAUUUUCCAUGGUAUAAACAAGAAGCUGGGCAGGGGCCCAAGCUCAUCAUAGACAUUCGCUCCAAUGUGGAUAAAAAACAAGACCAAAGAUUCACUGUUUUGUUGGAUAAGAAGGCCAAGCAUGUCUCCCUGCACAUCACAGCCACCCAGCCUGGGGACUCAGCUGUCUACUUCUGUGCAGCAAGUACACAGUGCUCCCCAGGCACCUGUGUCCUGUACCCAAACCUGUGACUGGGGGAACAAGCCUUAUCUUGCUUCUUUCUCCUCUGACUCAGACUUUGUAGUACAACAUCUGCCAUAUCAUUUGUUGGUAAAAUUGACAUUAAAAGCAUGUAAUAAAAAGGUUAAUAAAAUAAAUAAUAAAAUAUAUUUUAAAUAAAUAAUAAAAAGGUUAUGUUCAAGAUAACCCAGAAAAGUUUAGAUCAUUUUGUUGAUGGCUGUUGCUUUUGGAUUAGUUAUUUUUUUUUCUUUUGGAACUAUUUAACAUUUAUUUUUAGCUAAUAUAGAGUUGCAUAAAUUUGUGGAGUAUUGUGUGAAGUUACAAUACAUGUGUAUAUUACAAAAUGUUCAAACCAAAGUAUAUGACUCUACCUCUUAAAUCACUUGUCAUAUCUUUAUAGUGAAGACACUAAAAAUCCAUGCUUCUAACUUUUUUUAGGAUUAUACACAGUGUAUUAUUGUUAUCUUUAGUCAUCUCUCUAGCUUAGUACCUGUCAAGAAAACUUUCACAGUCCUCAUCCCUACCCUCUCUAAUCUUUAACAAU